rnacentral:ncRNA from 4 species
CAAAGGCAUGGUCCCGACCUUAUUAUCAGCUCUAACUCAACUUACACAUGCAAGUCUCCGCAACCCAGUGAAUAUGCCCUCAAUCCCCCCACCCGGGGACGAGGAGCGGGCAUCAGGCACAAACAUUAGCCCAAGACGCCUAGCCAAGCCACACCCCCAAGGGAAUUCAGCAGUGAUAAACAUUAAGCCAUAAGUGAAAACUUGACUCAGUUAGUGUUAAGAGGGCCGGUAAAACUCGUGCCAGCCACCGCGGUUAGACGAGAGGCCCUAGUUGAUAUUACAACGGCGUAAAGGGUGGUUAAGGAUAAACAAAAAUAAAGUCAAAUGGCCCCUUGGCCGUCAUACGCUUCUAGGAGUCCGAAGCCCUAAUACGAAAGUAACUUUAAUAAACCCACCUGACCCCACGAAAGCUGAGAAACAAACUGGGAUUAGAUACCCCACUAUGCUCAGCCGUAAACUCAGACAUCCAGCUACAAUUAGAUGUCCGCCAGGGUACUACGAGCAUUAGCUUAAAACCCAAAGGACCUGACGGUGUCUCAGACCCCCCUAGAGGAGCCUGUUCUAGAACCGAUAACCCCCGUUCAACCUCACCACUUCUAGCCACCCCAGCCUAUAUACCGCCGUCGUCAGCUUACCCUGUGAAGGUAAUAAAAGUAAGCAAAAUGGGCACAACCCAAAACGUCAGGUCGAGGUGUAGCGCAUGAAGUGGGAAGAAAUGGGCUACAUUUUCUAAUAUAGAAUAUUACGAACAUGCACCAUGAAACAAUGCUUGAAGGAGGAUUUAGUAGUAAAAGGGAAAUAGAGUGUCCCUUUGAACCCGGCUCUGAGACGCGUACACACCGCCCGUCACUCUCCCCUGUCAAAACGCACCAAAAAUACAUAAUACAACAGCACUGACAAGGGGAGGCAAGUCGUAACACGGUAAGUGUACCGGAAGGUGCACUUGGAUCAAA